rnacentral:rRNA from 1 species
UCCAGACUCCUACGGGAGGCAGCAGUGGGGGAUAUUGCACAAUGGGGGGAACCCUGAUGCAGCGACGCCGCGUGGGUGAAGGAGCGUUUCGGCGCGUAAAGCCCUCUCGGCAGGGAAGAAGGAGGACGGUACCUGACUAAGAAGCCCCGGCUAACUACGUGCCAGCAGCCGCGGUAAUACGUAGGGGGCAAGCGUUAUCCGGAUUUACUGGGUGUAAAGGGGGCGCAGACGGCGAUGCAAGCCAGGAGUGAAAGCCCGGGGCCCAACCCCGGGACUGCUCUUGGAACUGCGUGGCUGGAGUGCAGGAGGGGCAGGCGGAAUUCCUGGUGUAGCGGCGAAAUGCGUAGAUAUCAGGAGGAACACCGGUGGCGAAGGCGGCCUGCUGGACUGCAACUGACGUUGAGGCCCGAAAGCGUGGGGAGCAAACAGGAUUAGAUACCCUAGUACAA